AAUCUAUCUAACUCUAUUAGUGAAUGUGCAUUUUGGGAUUUUGAAAGCAAUAACGGAGAUGGUGGAUGGUCAACAAAAGGAUGCAAAACACAAUCUACGAAUGAUCUUUACAUACAGUGUGAUUGCGAUCAUUUGACGAAUUUUGAAGUUCUGGUUCGACCUUACGUAAAGCUACAUGAGGAUGAAGAGGCUUUGAAUUGGAUAUCCGUCAUUGGUUGCUCAAUAUCUGUUUUCUUUUCCUGUCUGACAGCUAUUGUAUAUCUUGUUUUAU